AUUGAACGCUGGCGGUAGGCUUAACACAUGCAAGUCGAGCGGUAGCACAGGGGGGGUUGCUUCUUGGGUGACGCGCGGCGGGCGGGUGUGUAGUGUACGGGGAACUGUCUGUUGGCGGGGGAUAAAUACUGGAGACGGUAGCUAAUAUCGCAUAACGUCGCAAGAGCAGAGAGGGGGGGAUUUUGGCACCUUGCGCUCAUGUGUGCGCAGAUGGGAUUAGCUAGUAGGUGGGGUAAUGGCUCACCAAGGCGACGAUCUCUAGCUGGUCUGAGAGGAUGACCAGCCACACUGGAACUGAGACACGGUCCAGACUCCUACGGGAGGCAGCAGUGGGGAAUAUUGCACAAUGGGCGCAAGCCUGAUCCAGCCAUGCCGCGUGUGUGAAGAAGGCCUUCGGGUUGUAAAGCACUUUCGGCGAGAAGGAAAGUCAUCAGCUUAAUACGUUCAUCAUUUGACGGUACUCACAGAAGAAGCACCGGCUAACUUCGUG
rnacentral:rRNA from 1 species